AUACGUAGGUGACAAGCGUUAUCCGGAUUUACUGGGCGUAAAGGGCGUGUAGGCGGUCUUGCAGGUCAGAAGUGAAAUUCCUGAGCUCAACUCGGGCGCUGCUUCUGAAACUGCAGGACUUGAGUGCUGGAGGGGAUAGCGGAAUUCCUAGUGGAGCGGUAAAAUGCGCAGAUAUUAGGAAGAACACCGGUGGCGUAGGCGGCUAGCUGGACAGUAACUGACGCUGAGGCGCGAAAGCGUGGGGAGCAAACAGGAUUAGAUACCCUGGUAGUCCACGCCGUAAACGAUGGGUACUAGGUGUAGGAGGUAUCGACCCCUUCUGUGCCGUCGUUAACACAAUAAGUACCCCGCCUGGGGAGUACGGUCGCAAGACUAAAACUCAAAUGAAUUGACGGGG
rnacentral:rRNA from 1 species